AACGUAGGAGACAAACGUUAUCCGGAGUUACUGGGCGUAAAGGGCGUGUAGGUGGUUUUGUAAGUCUGGCGUGAAAUUUUUCGGCUUAACCGGGAAAGGUCGUCGGAUACUGCAAGGCUAGAGGACGGUAGAGGCGUGUGGAAUUCCGGGUGUAGUGGUGAAAUGCGUAGAGAUCCGGAGGAACACCAGUGGCGAAGGCGACACGCUGGGCCGUACCUGACACUGAUGCGCGACGCAUGGGGAGCAAACAGG
rnacentral:rRNA from 1 species